CAGAUCUGUCUCCAGAACAUCUUUAUGUUGCUUCACACCCAAUGAGCUUGAUUGAGAACAGCAUUCCCACACAGAAAUGUUGGUACUUUUAAGUUUAUUCGAUGACUUUCAGAAGAAUCCAAUAAAAACUUCUGCAGAUAAAUUUGUGCCCUGGAACAGCAUUAACAGAAACAAAAAAGGAAGCAAAGCAAUUAGCAGAUCGUCCUGGAGACAAGAGGAAUAGGUAUAUUCGAGCUGCUUACCAUGCAACUAAAGGCUUCCUACAUGUAGAAAGAAAGGCUGAAAAUGAAGACGAAGAUUUAAGAGAAGAGAUACUUUGCACUUUGGGCACUUC